AAAAGAUUGGACAGUGAGAAAGCGGGAGUGACAAUCAGCAAAGUCUGGAGAUCAAUGGGUGCGAAAAUGGUGAGAGGACCAACAGGCAGCCCCCCAGAAGAGGAAGGCGAAAGCAAGGAGACCCCGAGACUACGUUGUACAGAUCUCCUAAGUCCUGAAUGGCAGCAGGAAAAGGAAGAAGAAGAGGGGUCUCUACAAGAGCAGCCUGGCAUCAAUAAUUCACCUGCAGAUGCUGCGGAGGGGCUGUGGCCUCCGUCUGGUGACAACAAAGAAGAACACCUGGAGCCCAGAGUGAAUGAGGCCAGUGUGAAAAAGAAUAUUAAGAAGACCCCCUCAUGCCUUGGUCUCCGUUCCCUCAUCUCCAGGGACCAGAAGGUCUUCAAAAAAGCACCACUACCUGAACCCAGCACCAGCAGGAGCAGGGCGCAAUCAAAGAGGAGGCUGCUGGGCAUGAGGCUGAGGCACUGGAUACGCCGGCACAGCGGCUGCGUGUGUCACGGCUAAAAAUUGGGCACUCCCCGUAAAAAGAGUGCUUGUGUUUCCUUAGGUUCCCUUAGAUUCCCUCCUAGGACAAUCCUUUUAGCUAUGAAUAUUUUCCGGCGGGGGGGGGGGACAGAAAUACAGCCUGCUGUGGGUCGGGGCAGAUGCUGCUAAGCCACGCCCCCAGGCUCGCGGUCUCCUAAGAAGCCUUCCCUCCUCACUGCUCCAACCUGAACUCUCCUCAUCCUGCGCGUGGGAGAUUCCUGCUCUCUUCCCUUAUGGUGCUUUAACUAGACUUGGGACUGGACAGCUCUUCAAGCUGACAACUGUUUCAAAGAGAGGACUGACAGCUCUUCAGUUAGGGGACUGUGCACUGCAAAGUAGGGGACACACCCUAAUAAAACAGUAAUAUGGUUUCCAGACAGGGAUGUCUACUUGAAUAAAAUACUGAGGCGGGGCAGGCAAGCCCAACCUCACAUAACUGAUCACAAGACACACAACUGAAUGCCAUGUCCAUCAAUUUUGGGCCCCUGGCCCCCUCAAAUAUGUUAAGGGAUCUUGGCCCCUAGGUGUUGGCUCUUAUGUUUCCAGACCCUUUAUAAAAUUGUUUGCCCUCCUCUGCACACGUUUCAGCUUUUCAAUAUCCUUCUUAAAUCGUGGCAGAACUGGAUACAGGACUCCAGGUGGGGUUUGACCAAAGCAGAAUAGAGUGGGACUAUUAUUUUCCUUGAUCUGGAUACUAGACUUUUUUCGAAGCACCCUCCCUUGUUUUUUUGCUGCUGCAUCACACUGUUGGCUUAUGUUAGGCUUGUAGUCUACAAGACCCCUAGAUUCUUCUCACAUGUACUGCUAUCAAGCCAGGUAUUCCCCAUCCUGUAUUUCUGAAUCUGAUUAUACCUGCCUAUGUGCUGAACCUACUGUCCCUACUGAAAUUCCUUUUGUUAAUUUUGCCUAGUAGAACUGCAGCUACCCUGAGUUGCAGCCAACAUGACCAGAGGUCAGGGACUGAUGGAAAUUGGAGCAACCUCUUCAAACACACAGAUCCUCCUCCCUGCAUGGAGAGUAUUUGCAUCACAGCGAAGACUGUCUGAGAGUUUUUCUUGCCAAUGAUGCAGUGGUGGUGCUUCCCAAGUCAGUGGUGAAGCACAUUGUCUGGUUGCUGUGAGGGGAGCUUUGCUUCCCCGCCAUGCAAUUGCCGUAGCUGCUCCAAAGAGAGGCACAGACGUUAUUUUUCCACAGCUGUUAAUAAAUAAGAUGUUAACAAUAAAGAAUAAGAUGAAAUGAAGUCAGGAAGCUCUUUUCCAAAAAACAAGUGAGCAAAUGGAGGCAGCUCCUUUUCCCUGCCGUUCCAUGAUUAAUAGAUUCUGUGAUUCAUCAUCAUAAUAGGCUGGUGAUCAAAAUUGCCCACCUCUGGCAGACACACCAUCUAAUAAACAUUCGCUGCAAAUUUCACUCUGAUAUCCGUUUCCUGCUGUGAUAAUAAAGAGUGACUUGCUUGGAAAACAGCAUCCUUUUACAUUCUGGAUGCCACAUAUAUCAGCCUCCCAUGGGGGCUCCUGCAGCCGUCAAUGUGGUGAAACAGCGAGGCUUGGAAGCGGAGAGAGCAGAACGGCUAGGAUUCCAGAACAAAGAACUGCCAGGCAGCGGGGGCACUGCACGACCCCACUGGGAAAUAGGAGGCAAGGACAAAGGAAAGAAGACCACUGGAAGGGGAGAAGUGUUUGCCGUCCACUUUGUUUAUCUUUAGCUCCCUGCCUCAGCUGUGGCAAUUGCCUACCCAAAGUACAUGCGCAUGGGCUGCUUAGAUUCCGGCUCUUGGAACAUUUGCUGCAUCAGAUGCUAAUCUCCAUUUUAGCGGUGUGAUCUUCUGCCAUUGCCUGGCUUCUCAUCAGGCUUUCCUUUUCUUAGUUAUUCCCUCAUGCAGUUGUAUGCACUUGGCCGAAGCACCUAUUUAAGCUCCUAAGAUCAUUGGCUUCAUAUCAGAAAGCAAUUUACGAUGUUCUUCGGCAAAAUAGGGAGCUCGCUGGACCCUGCAGAACAGAUGGCAGGGAGUGUUUCUCCAGGAUAGCCCUGAAUUUCUAAUAUUGCCUACGGGUCUCACUCUGUUAGGAUCUCAGUGAUUCUGCAGACCAAGAAUUGCAGGUCAGUAGUUCACAAUAGUGCCUUAAUUGUUGGUUGAUCUCUCUCUCUCUCUCUCUCCCUCCCCCCCCCCCCACAAAACAUUGAUGUGAUUUAAACAACUGUUGCUGAAAUUAUGAUGACUCCAAUAAACUGUUUCUACUCAGAAAUGGCAGUGCAAAAAAAAUCUCCCUGCGCCUGUCCAAUCAAUGCUGCACAGCUCUCCUGAUUUCCUAUCAGCAGAAUAUGUCAUGACUUAACAAGCUUCAUUGUGUAUAGCAGUGGUGGUGAACAUCUGAGCCCUGGGCCAAAAUAAUCCUGGCAAUUUGGUCCACAAGACUGCUUUCCACAAAACCUUGUCCACAAUGUGGGACAGGUAGGGGCACGGCUGGGCCAGCUGCACGGCCACUGAGCUACAGCCUCUCCUUGACAAGCCCAAUAACAACCCAGAGAGUUUCAUGGGAAUUUGCACCCAGGACGCAGGUGGCGCUGUGGGUUUAAACCACAGAGCCUAGGACUUGCCGAUCAGAAGGUCGGCGGUUCGAAUCCCCGCGAGAGGGUGAGCUCCCGUUGCUUGGUCCCUGCUCCUGCCAACCUAGCAGUUCGAAAGCACGUCAAAGUGCAAGUAGAUAAAUAGGUACCGCUCUGGCGGGAAGGUAAAUGGUGUUUCCGUGCGCUGCUCUGGUUCGCCAGAAGCGGCUUAGUCAUGCUGGCAACAUGACCCGGAAGCUGUACGCCAGCUCCGUCAGCCAAUAAAGCGAGAUGAGUGCUGCAACCCCAGAGUCGGUCACGACUGGACCUAAUGGUCAGGGGUCCCUUUACCUUUAAUUUAUUAGCAGCUUGCCCUUGACAUAUGUGGAGUUUGCAGAGGCUAUGCAAUGAUAGUCUAGUGGGAUCAGCUGACUGGAAACCGUCCAGUUUACGAUGAGUCUAUGUGGUGUAAUGGUUAGAGUGCUGGGCUAGGAUCUGGAGGCCAGACUUCAAAUCACUGGGAGACCUUGGGCCAGUCACUGUUCCUUAGCCUUGCCUGCCUUACAAAGCUGUUGUGAGGACAAAAUGGGAGGAGGAGAACCUUGGAAACAUGGGAUGUAAAUGUGGUGGACUCCAUAGUCGAAGCUCAUCAGACAAGCUGGUGUUCAUUGAGUUCAACCUCUUCAGGCUAAUUAGUUUUGCUUUAUUGUCAACAGGCUGUGCCAGUGAAAGUCAAUGCAGAGACUAUUUGCCUGAAUUGGCCCAUAAAGUUGUGAUGAUUCAGCAGUCUUGCCAAAAGAAUCCGACUGGGCUUUUUCUUAAUCUUCCCAGUAAUUGCCUGCCUUUCUCUUCUAAAUGCUAGUGCUUUGCACUGUGAUACAUCUUCGGCCUUGUAUUGAGGAAUGCCAACUUCUCUACGGAGCAGAAGCGCCUUGAAGUUUUCUUCCUAAAAAAUGCUGAAGGGCAUGUCUCUUGCGCAUUGCUGACCGGCUUGGCUUUACAGCAAUCUUUGUAUUGUCACAGUGACUCACAAAACUCAGGACCUCAAGCUCCCACCCUGCUCCCACAGGAAGCUCCUAACUCUUCCCCCGGCUCAGCCUUGGCCUAUAAGGUACUCUCAAUAUUGUUCUUUUCCUUCCAUUGCAUUGCUGUCUUGUCAAUAUACUUUUCUGCCAGUCAGCACAUGACUGCCUCAGUCCUGGGUAAAUGCACAAAUCUCUGCCAAACCUUUUCAGCUCUUAUUUACAACACCUGCUACUGGUUUUCUCUAGAGCAUUUCCUGCUAAGGUUAAGCCUCCUUUUUCUCUCUCACCUUCAACCUGCAAUUGGUAUUAAGAUCUGCAGUUUAAAAGCUUGGAGCUUGAUUUCUAUCUACAGACUUAUCUUUACUGUGAACAGUACACUUCCCAAGUGCAUUAAUACAUCUAGACAGAGGAUAGCCGAGGGUAAAGAUUAUAUUGAUGAAGCCUUGGUCCUAUUGAAAUCAAGAUGUUGUUUUUUUUAACUUUAAUUCCAGUAGGAGAAGCAGAGAAGUGACCAAACAUAUGGGAAUAUUUUUUGUUAGUUUUUUCAUCCUUACAAUAUAAUUGCAUUAACUUAUUUAAUUUCUGUUUGCAUAAGCAGCAAACUUUCAGUUUCACACAUCUGCAUGCCACGUUAGGUUUUUAAAGGCCUGGAAAGUUUUUAAAUAUUGCUACUUUUCUAGGAUGCCUAAAAGUAAAGGCUGUUGCAUCAUUUUCUCAAUCCCACUUCAGCCAUACCCACAUUCAUAGUUUGGCUGCAUCCACUUUGACCUGAGAGCCUAGACCAGAGGAUUAGCCAUAGGUCUGAGAAAGGUUAGCUGCCCGUUGCCUAAAGACAUGGCAUGAGAGGGGAAACGAACGAGGAAGAAAGAGGAAAACAGAAAACUCGGGUACCAUUUCUUUGAGUUGCAAUUACCAACUGAAUUGGAAACAGUUCAGGGCCAGCAGGAGUCUGAUGGAGAAGGGGAAGUGGGCUUUCAGUGGAGGUGAUAGAAGGGACCCUGCUCCGCAACUGCUCCAUCUCUGCAAUUCUAUUCACAGGAUAAUGGCUUCUGAAAAGCAUGGCAGAGCACCUGCAGGAGGAGUAAUGAGUCCACACCUGCUUCUGCACCAAAGAACAUCCUGAGGCUAAACAUAACAGCAGGUGAAUAACAACGCUGGCAUAAAAAGUGCAAGAGCAAAAGACGGCGGCGUAUUGGACAACAGCAAACUAACUUCAGACAAGUUAAUCUUUAAAUGUUCUGACAAAUAGGGGGUCAUGUAUGCAGAAUGAAGUUCUUGUUAUGGUUUUCUUUUCUUCUUUUUUCUUUAUGACUGGCUCUUGGUUGUGGUGACAUUUUCUGCUAAGGUGUCUCACGUGUUGAUGCCGUGUUCCUUUGAAGGAUGCCUCCUCUAUAUUGUAACUAUAAUGUGCAGUGCUUUUUUUCUAAGAAAACAUUUAGGGUUACUCUCAUUUUGACUCAGGAAAAUCACCAUUUUAUAGUUCAAAUCGGGAAAAAUAAAUAUAGUAAAUGGACAAAAAUACAAGGAUUCACAAAAUGUUUAGAGGUAUGCGUACCCCUGUGUACCCACCCAGGAAAAAAGCACUGA